GGGGAUGUAGCUCAGAGGGAGAGCACAGCGUCGGCAACGCUGGGGUCGCGGGUUCGAUUCCCGCCAUCUCCACCA
rnacentral:tRNA from 1 species